rfam:Gorilla gorilla gorilla genomic chromosome, chr5, whole genome shotgun sequence
AAGACUAUACUUUCAGGGAUCGUUUUUAUAAUAUGUUAUUGUAGAAGUUUUUAUGAGCGUGUAAAGCUUUGGUUAAACCACAAAGAGGUAAAUGUGUCAUUUUCUGGAAAAUCACUAUCUCGUGGCCUUUUAUUGUUGUUGUUGUUUGCUAUUGAUGGUCGUUCUUCUCUCCCUUUGGGGAAGGUAAGAGGGAAAGAGCGUGGUGUGAGUGGU